rnacentral:rRNA from 1 species
UACGUAGGGCGCAAGCGUUGUCCGGAAUUAUUGGGCGUAAAGAGCUCGUAGGCGGCUUGUCACGUCGGAUGUGAAAGCCCGGGGCUUAACUCCGGGUCUGCAGUCGAUACGGGCAGGCUAGAGUUCGGUAGGGGAGAUCGGAAUUCCUGGUGUAGCGGUGAAAUGCGCAGAUAUCAGGAGGAACACCGGUGGCGAAGGCGGAUCUCUGGGCCGAUACUGACGCUGAGGAGCGAAAGCGUGGGGAGCGAACAGG